AAGUACCUAAUGUAUUGUUAAAUUGUUAAAAAGUGUUUAAUCUUUGAAGAAAAUUAUUUACAAGUUGACCCAAUUUAUUAUUGAUAAAUUUGUUGGCAUAAAUACAUGUGGAAUGAAAUCAAAUUUUGAAAGACCUCCAAUUGCUAGAAAAAGAGACCAAGAAUAAGCGUCGAUACAACGCUAGAUAUUUUGCUGUCAUUAGAAGACAACCAACAUAAAUUGGCCUACAACAACAUGUUAGUCAGUCAUUUGUAGUAAAGUUUUUAAAGAUAGAAAAACUGCAUUCAUACAAAGAGCACGGAUGGUGGGUUCCAACAAGAUAAUGUACCACCAGAUUAUGGUUUUAAUGUUAGAAGGUUUCUGAAUAACCAGUUUAAAGGAAGGUGGAUUGGAAGUCGCAUAUUGAUGGAGUGGUCACCUGAUCUUCGUAAUUUUUUUAUAAUGCAGAAAAACAAGCUUUACCAAAUGAUAUGAGAAAAAUAUCUUGCCUAUUUAAAAGAUAUUGAAAACCGUCAUCAAUUUCAUAAAUUUGAGGUUUUAUUUUUUUUAUACGAAAUAAAAUAACCCG